rnacentral:rRNA from 1 species
GUCUACAGCCAUGCUACCCUGAACAAGCCCGAUCCCGUCUGAUCUCGGAAGCUAAGCAGGGUUGGCCUGCUUAGUACUUGGAUGGGAGACCACCUAGGAAGACCAGGUGCUAUAGGCA